UUCCGGUUGAUCCUGCCGGAAGCCAUUGCUAUUGGGAUUCGAUUUAGCCAUGCUAGUCGCACGAGUUCAGACUCGUGGCGAAUAGCUCAGUAACACGUGGCCAAACUACCCUUCGGGCCAGCAUACCCUCGGGAAACUGAGGCUAAUACUGGACACCACAGUCCACCUGGAAUGAGGACUGUGCCAAACGCUCCGGCGCCGAAGGAUGUGGCUGCGGCCGAUUAGGUAGACGGUGGGGUAACGGCCCACCGUGCCAAUAAUCGGUACGGGUCAUGAGAGUGAGAACCCGGAGACGGAAUCUGAGACAAGAUUCCGGGCCCUACGGGGCGCAGCAGGCGCGAAACCUUUACACUGCACGACAGUGCGAUAAGGGAAUCCCAAGUGCACAGGCAUAGAGCCUGUGCUUUUGUACACCCUAGGGCGGUGUACGAAUAAGGGCUGGGCAAGACCGGUGCCAGCCGCCGCGGUAAUACCGGCAGCCCAAGUGAUGGCCGAUCUUAUUGGGCCUAAAGCGUCCGUAGCUGGCCGCACAAGUCCAUCGGAA
rnacentral:rRNA from 1 species